AUUUUCUGCCACCGAAUACAUUAGCAUGGGAUAAUGGAAUAGGACCCUGUCCUCCUAUUUUCAGUUGGUUUUGCACGUGAGGACCAGGGUAAUGAUUAAUAGGGAUAGUUGGGGGCAUUAAUAUUUAAUUGUCAGAGGUGAAAUUCUUGGAUUUAUGAAAGAUUAACUUCUGCGAAAGCAUCUGCCAAGGAUGUUUUCAUUAAUCAAGAACGAAAGUUAGGGGAUCGAAGACGAUCAGAUACCGUCGUAGUCUUAACCAUAAACGAUGCCGACCAGCGAUUAGGAGACGUUGAAUACAAAACACCACCAUCGGUGCGGUCGUCCUUGGCACAUCAUUGGCGCAAGCCAGUGGUGGGCGAGGGCGGUUUAGCCUGAUGGCAUCGGUGAAUGACUCCCCUAGC
rnacentral:rRNA from 1 species